AUGCUUGUUUUGGCAGCACAUAUACUAAAAUUGGAAGUAUACAGAGAAGAUUAGCAUGGUCCCUCUGCAAGGAUGACACACAAAUCGUGAAGUGUUCCAUUAAAAA